UACACUUGGUACCAUUAAAGGGAAGAAAAUAGUGUUGUAAGGUAGAAAAAAAAAGAAAGCACUUUCCUUUUGGCCCAUACCAUGUUUCCUCAAUAACCUCAUUGAUUUGAUUUCCCACUCCAAAAAUUUCCCAUCUCACUAUAUCACUAAUCACAUUUCAUCUCUCCCUUCAAUAAUCAUGUCUAAUAGUGGGAGAGUGGAAGGCUCAUCUUCCGCAACGACUGCCACUGCACCGCCUCUAAGCCGAUACGAGUCCCAGAAGCGUCGCGACUGGAACACGUUCGGCCAGUACCUGCGGAACCAGCGUCCGCCCUUGUCCGUGCCAGAUUGCAACUACGGGCACGUCUUGGAGUUCAUGCGCUACCUCGACCAGUUCGGGAAGACAAAGGUGCACAUGCAAGGGUGCGUGUUUUUCGGGCAGCCAGAGCCGGCGGGCCCCUGCACCUGUCCACUCAGGCAGGCGUGGGGCAGCCUGGACGCCCUCAUAGGCCGCCUCAGGGCGGCCUAUGAGGAGAAUGGAGGGGUUCAGGAGACCAAUCCGUUCGCCAAUGGGGCGAUACGGGUCUACCUCCGGGAGGUCAGGGAUUCCCAGGCCAAGGCGCGGGGAAUCCCGUAUCGGAAGAAGAAGAAGAGGAAGAAGACUAGUGAAACAGUCACCUCCACUUUUCACCCUAUGCAGCAUUCUGAGGUCUGAGUUUCUACUAAGUAGGAGUACUUGGAGGUUGUAUGCUUGUGCAAGUGACCAUAUAUCUAGAGUGCAAUCUUGAAAGUGAAAGAAGAGAAGAUAUAUGGCUAAAAUGAUCCAUUCAGAAUUCAGAGAUAAUUGCAGUUUUAAGCUUAUAGCCGAAUUGAACAAGCAUACUGCAAUUCAUCAAUUUUAUAUACUAGUACUGUUUAUUUGUUAUAAACAAAAGAAUUUUGAUGGGAUUUAUAUUUCUUAGAAAUAUCAGUAAUUAACAGCAUUAUAUUUAUCUGUUUUGUUGAUGCACGAUUUAAAUGUCUUUAUUUUAAGUUUUGUUUAAGCAACUGGACAUUGAGUUUAUGAUAUGUAGUAGUAGUUUAUUUCAA